AAAGAAAUGAUUCUAAAAGCAUCGAGAGAAGAGAAACAAAUAACAUUCAGCGGAACUCCAAUACAUCUGACAGCAGACUUUUCAGGGGAAAAUUUACAGGCUGUGAGAUUGGCAUGACAUAUUAAAAAACUGAAGGAAAAAAAGACUUUUACUUUAGAAUAAUGUAUCUGGCAAAAACGUCCUUUAAACUUGACGGAAAAAUAAGAACUUUUUCCAACAAACAAAAACUGAGGGAUUUCAUUAACACCAGACCUGUCCUACAAGAAAUGCUUAAGGGAUAUCUUAAUCUAAAAGAAAAC
rnacentral:lncRNA from 10 species